rnacentral:rRNA from 1 species
UCUGGAAAGGCGCGCGAUACAGGGUGACAGCCCCGUACACAAAAGCGUAUGUGCUGUGAGCUCGAUGAGUAGGGCGGGACACGUGGUAUCCUGUCUGAAUAUGGGGGGACCAUCCUCCAAGGCUAAAUACUCCUGACUGACCGAUAGUGAACCAGUACCGUGAGGGAAAGGCGAAAAGAACCCCGGCGAGGGGAGUGAAAAAGAACCUGAAACCGUGUACGUACAAGCAGUGGGAGCCCCACCACUAAGCCAGUGGUGAACUCCACAUACGCAUCCUUUGCUGAGGAUACGGUUAACGGAGCGAAAGCGACGUUCAACCGCAAAAGAAGCAGAGGGGGCUUAGUGGUGGGGUGACUGCGUACCUUUUGUAUAAUGGGUCAGCGACUUAUAUUCUGUAGCAAGGUUAACCGAAUAGGGGAGCCGGAGGGAAACCGAGUCUUAACCGGGCGUUAAGUUGCAGGGUAUAGACCCGAAACCCGGUGAUCUAGCCAUGGGCAGGUUGAAGGUUGGGUAACACUAACUGGAGGACCGAACCGACUAAUGUUGAAAAAUUAGCGGAUGACCUGUGGCUGGGGGUGAAAGGCCAAUCAAACCGGGAGAUAGCUGGUUCUCCCCGAAAGCUAUUUAGGUAGCGCCUCGUGAAUUCAUCUCCGGGGGUAGAGCACUGUUUCGGCUAGGGGGCCAUCCCGGCUUACCAACCCGAUGCAAACUGCGAAUACCGGAGAAUGUUAUCACGGGAGACACACGGCGGGUGCUAACGUCCGUCGUGAAGAGGGAAACAACCCAGACCGCCAGCUAAGGUCCCAAAGUCAUGGUUAAGUGGGAAACGAUGUGGGAAGGCCCAGACAGCCAGGAUGUUGGCUUAGAAGCAGCCAUCAUUUAAAGAAAGCGUAAUAGCUCACUGGUCGAGUCGGCCUGCGCGGAAGAUGUAACGGGGCUAAACCAUGCACCGAAGCUGCGGCAGCGACGCUUAUGCGUUGUUGGGUAGGGGAGCGUUCUGUAAGCCUG